rnacentral:rRNA from 1 species
AUUGAACGCUGGCGGCAGGCCUAACACAUGCAAGUCGAACGAGUGGCGGACGGGUGAGUAAUGUCUGGUAAACUGCCCGAUGGAGGGGGAUAACUACUGGAAACGGUAGCUAAUACCGCAUACCAUCUGAUGUGCCCAGAUGGGAUUAGCUAGUAGGGGGGGUAACGGCUCACCUAGGCGACGAUCCCUAGCUGGUCUGAGAGGAUGACCGGCAACACUGGAACUGAGCAACGGUCCAGUCUCCUACGGGAGGCAGAAGUGGGGAAUAUUGCACAAUGGGCGCAGGCCUGAGACAGCCAUGCCGCGGGGAUGAAGAAGGCCUUCGGGUUGUAAAGUACUUUCAGCGAGGAGGCGUUACUCGAAGAAGAAGCACCGGCUAACUCCGUGCCAGCCGCCGCGGUAAUUC